UGCGUAGGCGGCUCGUUAAGUCGGGGGUGAAAUACUUCGGCUCAACCGGAGAAUUGCCUUCGAUACUGGCGGGCUGGAGGAAGGUAGGGGUCGCGGGAACUACCAGUGGAGCGGUGAAAUGCGUUGAUAUUGGCAGGAACGCCGGUGGUGAAGACGCGCGGCUGGACCUUUUCUUGACGCUGAUGCACGAAAGCCAGGGGAGCAAAACGG
rnacentral:rRNA from 1 species